GGGCGCAUAGCUCAGUGGGAGAGCACUCGCCUUACAAGCGAGGGGUCGCAGGUUCGAAACCUGCUGCGCCCACCA
rnacentral:tRNA from 1 species